AAGAGAGACGGGAGAUGGGAAGAAAAAAGGAAAAUAUGUAAUAAAAACAUAUCUUUGUUAUGGGACAAUGCAGAAAGCUGGAAUAUGAUGUUCCGUGGAUGCGUCCCGAUUUUUCUUGGAUAGAAAUGGCGAUCUGAAAUGUAAGGAAGAGAAAAGAGGAUCCCAUUGAUUUUGGAUGGCCACCUCAAGGAAAUCGAAGAAAGCAACGGGUGGAUGUUAUUAGGCGGUGUAAUAAAAGUCACAUUUCAUUUCAGUCAUUGGAAAGAAAAGAGAAAUUCAAAUCAUAGUCCUACAUGUAAAAGCCCCGAAUUAAGUGAUGAUCAAAUAAUUUCCUGCAUAUGUUUUGAUUUUUUUGUAUCUUUUUUGCAUCCAUUAUUCCAAAGAACAAACAGAUCAGAAGAAUAAACAUUGGAAUUUACCUAUCACGUUUUCAGAUGGUUCAAUUAUAACAUUCAAAAAUCCUAAAAUGUUACUUCAAUUAUUAAAUUCAAGUAUCCAAGUUGAAACAGAUACUUAUUUUACUUAUACUUAUUAAAUCAAAUGUUGAAGUCCAAAAACAUUAUGGCCUUUGACAAAACAAUGAUGACAUUGAGCAGACAUACAAGCGGUAUUAAUGACCUCUUGGACAAAAGCCCAAUUUAUUUAUUCAACAGUAAUUCAUUGUUUUGCGUGAUUAGGGGAAUGACUACGGUUUUUCCCCUUUGGAAUGGAUUUGUGGUUAGUUGUGCUUGCCAGUCACUUAUUGCAGAGGUGGGCAUUUACACAUUUUUGCCAUUCCAUCAUUCAACAUCUGUCAGCGUCCUGAGUAACUGCCUGUCAUUGUGAUUCAUUCAUUUUUUUGAGCUGAACCAAACUGUGAUUUCACCAGUUCGCCAUUCAAUCCAUCAGCACCCCCCCCCCCCACCCACUAAACACUUCGUCGUCCAACAGAUGAAAAAUCCAAUUUGAUUAUAUUGAUACAUGGAAUCUUUGAAUGUGUCUCCAUCACAUGGUGGCUGCCCAAACACACACAGAACUCGCUUACACUUAUAAACUUAUUUGCCAAUCUAUUGAACAGGUGGCGGCCAGCAGGUACUGUGUUUUAAUUCCUAAAACUCCCAAAAGUUUUAAUUUAAAGUUGAACAUUGAUUAUCUUAACUAAAAUCCAGCUCUGCAUUCUUGCACACUUACUUCUGUCUUUAAAUGUAAGUCUUCUUUUUCUUCAAGGAUCAUUGGUGGAUUACAGCUCUUUGGGGCAUGGUGCCGCCAACUGCACAGGAAGUGCAAACCAUUUCCAUAUACAGUUAAUAUUCCCAUUCCCGGAAUUCUAUGUAAAGGAAAAUCCCCAUCAUUCGUCAGUCGUCAGCAGAACGGGUGUCCGUCACUGAUGGACGAGUACUGAACGAAUGCCCAUCGUUGCUUAUUUGUGAACAAACUAUUGCUCUUCCCAAACUCUGAAUAAUUUGUCUUUGGGUUUGGGAGAAGACACUACAUUCACGAUAUCCAUUGCAAAAGUGCUUAGAAAUGCUGAAAUGUAUUUUCAAUGUGGCUUUUAACUUAUAUGAAAAUUGUUCCAAAAUGGAGCACAAUUGUUUCUGUCUGCCGUACACAAAAACCGCAAUGCAGAGCAACUUAGUGGGUUUUAAUGAAUUGGACAGUUUCCAUACUUGGACUUACAGACACAGUCCACAGAGGAAUUGUGGCAUAUUGGUUGCAGUGAAGGUGAACAAAAAAUACAUUCAUUCUUUUUCCCUCUUAUAUGUCACUUAACAUUUUUGGCAUGUCUCUUUGUGUCUCUCGCUCCCUCACACAUGCCCACAAACAGCACCAGGGAGUAUUCAGGCUCACAGCAUUAACAGUUUUUAUGAGUGUGCAACCAGCAACUCUCAAAGGAGCACUGAGAUUAGAAGACACUGAAGGUGAAGCCGAGAGCUUCAUUAAAUACCAACCUGAAUCAGCAACGCUAGCGAGGAUGGCUGGGGAAUGCAUAUACUUGACGUUUGUGGAGGAGAGUGGAUGACAAAAAAAAGGCAUGGAACAAACACUCAGGUUGUGUGCAAAUGCACAGAAUGUGUCCUCAGAAGGCUGCAAUUUUGGACGCAUGAUGUCACUUCCGGCAUGUGGUGUCCAAAUCCACAUUAAGCCUGUCCAAAAUUGCCACGGUUUAUGUGGUCCACAGAGGCUACAUUGAGGAGGAGUCUUUAAAGGUGUUGAAAAAGCCAUCAUGCGAAUUGUCUUUCUGGAAUUUGGAAACCUCGUGCCGUCGAGUUGCGGUGGAAGUGACGUUAUGCAGCCGAAAAUGCGGCCCGUGGAGGAUGUGGCCUGUGAAUUUGGACACAGUCUAGGUGUGUGCAUUAUGUGCAUGCAUCAUUCUGAUUAUACCUGGGCAAUUAGCAGAUUUUAUGUGCACAAGUAUGGAUGCUUAUGCAAGAGAAGCAGAAAGCAAGAGCUAUGACUUGACGUGUGUGCAAUGUUGCAGACGUCGUAACACUUUUGCUGUAUUUAGCAACUUUUCCAAUUCUGCCAGCGAAUAUUUUUUCCAAAAAACAAACAAACAAACUUGACAACAUUGGUCCUAAUAUUUGCGAUUCAAUAUUCUUAUGCCCUUCAUGGGGGAGGGAAGAACAACAAGACUUGGCCUGAAAAUACUGUCAGUAUUGGCUGUAUAAGUCAUCACUGCAUCAUUACACAUUGCUGUCAAUAAUAUUACACUUCACACUUAUCUAAAUAUUUGGGAGUCUGGAUUUUGAAUAUUGGUGAACAAAAUGAAUCUUGGACUUUUUAAAGUGUAAAGAUGUCAUUUUAAUGUCCACUUAUAUAUACACCAGUGUGUGUGAUAUGUUUUCUAAAUACAUCAAAAAAAGGUGAGGUUGGCCUGGCUUAUUGGCUUGGGACUCGGCAAGCGUUUCAGUUUCUCAUGCGACCCUUUUGCAGAAUUGAUUGCCCAAACUUAUCUACAAUAAAGUGUGAGUGCACAUACUGCAUACGCUGUAUGUAGAAUAUGUUAUUGAACCUAUCCCUCCCCUCGUUUUAACCCACACCUCAUAUAGUCAUCCAGUCAUUUGUGUGAAGACUUCCCACUCCGUAUCCAAUGGCUUUCGACCCUAUGUGACAUGGUAGAGUCAAUCACAUAGGAAUAGAAAGCCAUAAAACACAGCAACGAGACAGUAGCGCGGUGUUAGCAGCAGUAAACUUUCCCUUUGCACACGAUGUUUCCCACAUACAGGUGCAGGAGAGUGGAACACUCAGCUUUUAACAGCCCAAGCUUGUCUGACAGCUUACAAGGCCAUGCAGAGGAUUUACAACAAGUGCGAGACACCCAACUUGACUUCUCCCUUUUUCCUCCAGUCUGUCCAAAGCCACACUUCAGUUGUGCUGUGGUCUGUUCUUACUUGCGGCCAAUAUCUGAGGCAUGCAGAAAUGUAGCAAAUGAAAACAACAGCCUGCAGACCUUCUGUAUUAUUAAUUGGUUGAAAAUUGAUGAGUCAACAUUAACGCAGCGAGGCAACUAGAGAGAAAGGCAGGCAAAGCACUCUGCAUGCACCUACAAAUCAGUGUAGGGCAAGCUACUUUGGAAAUCCCCUACAGCCCGCUAAGUUACAAAUUAUUCAACAUUAGAGAAAUCUUAACAACACGGCAGCUUCCCAAACAGAGAAAUGGAAUAAGCUAAACUUAAAAUAAAGUAACAAAUGUAGCAGAAAAAGCUACAUCACCGUUUCUAGUUGCAGAUGUAACAAUUCUUUAGUGAACAAAUGUCAAAUCAAUUCACAGUAUUUCAAUGGAGCAUGUCAAUUAAGUUUUGGAGA